rnacentral:rRNA from 1 species
UACGUAGGGGGCAAGCGUUGUCCGGAUUUAUUGGGCGUAAAGGGCGCGUAGGCGGCCACUUAAGUCCUGCGUGAAAUCUUGCGGCUCAACCGCAAGCGGUCGUGGGAAACUGGGUGGCUAGAGUGCGGGAGAGGAGAGUGGAAUUCCUGGUGUAGCGGUGGAAUGCGCAGAUAUCAGGAAGAACACCCGUGGCGAAGGCGGCUCUCUAGUACGGUACUGACGCUGAGACGCGAAAGCGUGGGGAGCGAACAGG